rnacentral:rRNA from 1 species
AUUGAACGCUGGCGGCAGGCCUAACACAUGCAGGUCGAGCGGUUGACGGGAGCUUGCUCCCUGAUUCAGCGGCGGACGGGUGAGUAAUGCCUAGGAAUCUGCCUAUUAGUGGGGGACAACGUUUCGAAAGGAACGCUAAUACCGCAUACGUCCUACGGGAGGAAGCAGGGGACCUUCGGGCCUUGCGCUAAUAGAUGAGCCUAGGUCGGAUUAGCUAGUUGGUGAGGUAAUGGCUCACCAAGGCGACGAUCCGUAACUGGUCUGAGAGGAUGAUCAGUCACACUGGAACUGAGACACGGUCCAGACUCCUACGGGAGGCAGCAGUGGGGAAUAUUGGACAAUGGGCGAAAGCCUGAUCCAGCCAUGCCGCGUGUGUGAAGAAGGUCUUCGGAUUGUAAAGCACUUUAAGUUGGGAGGAAGGGUUGUAGAUUAAUACUCUGCAAUUUUGACGUUACCGUCAGAAUAAGCACCGGCUAACUCUGUGCCAGCAGCCGCGGUAAAAC